GACGAACGCUGGCGGCGUGGAUUAGGCAUGCAAGUCGAACGGUAUAAACCUUUCGGGGUUUAGAGAGUGGCGAACGGGUGAGUAACACGUAGGUAAUCUACCCUCAAAACGGGGACAACCCAGGGAAACUUGGGCUAAUACCGGAUGCGUGCAAACAAUGUUUUGGCUGUUGUAAUUAUUCACGGAAGUGGAUAGUUAUGAGAGUUUCAGAGCAUAAUUUGCAUAAAAGGUGGCGUAAGCUGCCGUUUGAGGAUGAGCCUGCGUCCUAUUAGUUAGUUGGUGAGGUAAUGGCUUACCAAGGCGAUGAUAGGUAGGCGGCCUUAACGGGUGGUCGCCCACACUGGGAUUGAGAUACGGCCCAGACUCCUACGGGAGGCAGCAGUCGAGAAUAGUCUACAAUGGACGAAAGUCUGAUAGUGCGACGCCGCGUGAACGAAGAAUCCUUUCGGGGUGUAAAGUUCUUUUCUAUGUGAGCAGUUCCUUUUAUAUGAAGAGUAUAGAAGGUGGGAUUUAAGCAUAGGAA
rnacentral:rRNA from 1 species